AUGAGCAAAUGGCAUGGAAGAAACUUAUCCAUCAUCAAUUUUAUGUUGAUAGGAAAAAUAUAUGCUAAUAUCUUCACAAACAACUUGAUGGUCGGGAGUCUUCAUGAAUGAUAGGAGAAAUAGGGUGUUAUUGUCUCCAGGAGUAACUGAAAGAACCAAUCAGGUUCUGGAAGAAUGUUAUGGGGGCCUUUAGGGGAAAUGGGUCUUCAUGUCUCUAUGAACAUCAAGCCAAGCAAGUUACAGAACCCAGGGAGUUGGACCCAGAUAGUUUGAUUUUCUGAGCUUUCAAGUAAUAGGAGAAAGGGGUCUGCACAAAGUCUACUACAGAACUACAGAAAGCCUGAACUUCUGAACUUUAGGGGAAAAUGACCAUGCUUGUUGAGGAGGGAAUUUGUAGUAGGUGGUUCAGGAAGUCCAUGCUUUCCUGAUACCUCAGCCAAUGGGGAAAGGAACACAGCAACAUGCAGUCAGGAGUUUAGGAUAAAAGGAGACUGCACCCUCCAAAACCUCAAGAGACACUUCACUGGGGUAUUGUCCAGUACACUCUCUCCCUUUAUUGGAAAACAUUUUCUGGAGUCCUCUCUCUCCUUUACAGACACUGGCUUUUCACGGUGUGGUUUUUCCACACAAUGUGAAUAAGCAGACACUUUAUUUUGGUGCAAGGAGCACAGGGAAUUACUCCUCCAAGCAUAUUCUACUUAGUAAACAAAAUCCAUCCCUUUGAUAUACUUUUCUGCCGGGUCAUCGUUACGUCGAGGCUGAGCAAUCCGAGUCCAGGUGUAGACGAUUCUUCCCUGAUGGAAUUACAAGAACUUUACGGGAACCGCGGCUUUCAGAUGCAUCAGCCCGGAGGACUCCAGCGAUCCCAAUCUCGGGUCGUUACCUGAAUGAUCAACGCUUAAGGUUCCAGUAUCACCUCGCAGAACGAGGGAGAAUCUCUGGGCGAGCCACAUGUAUUAAAUUGUAAAUGAGGCUUUGUCCAAGAAA